GAGGUCUUCUGGUCACUGGCUUGCAUGGAGAGCGUGAGCCUGCACAGGGGAGUGUGAGGAUUUGAAAAGCUCUUGGAUCCCCACUGGUACAUCCCGACAAAGUGUGCUUCUUGAAAGGAUCAAGGACAAACUAAAGAGCCUCCUGUGACCUGCAGAACAUUAAAGCUUAUAACUGCUGGGACUGAUCUGAGAACUGCAUCUCAGCAGAAUUUCUUUGAUGUCUCCAUAGCUCUAGCUGUAUCAUAAGCAGUUUGACACAGUAAAAAGGAAAAAAGCAUUUGUGAAAAAAUAAUUUUCUAAACAAGACAAUUUUUCACUCAACUAAGUAAGAAGCUCACAGAAGCAAAGGUUUAUACAAUUGACAUUGUUUUGAUUCUAUGCUGAGCCUUUAAGAAAUGGAGCACAUAGCCAAGAUAAUUUUUUAUAUUCCUGCUGGCUUUUCUUCUGGGCACCUCUUGGGCCCUCCCCUUGUACUGACCACAGAAAUCCUGCUUGUUCCAUCCCAGUCUGGACCUAAACAAGCGUGAAGCCUUUUGUGUGGGAGAGGAAAAUCAGGCCAAGUGUGUUUAUAUUGCAAGUUGUUAAUAACAACAACAGCUCUUGGCUUUUGUGAAGCUCAUGUCAGGCAAGGAAUGUAAAGUGCUUUUAAAACAGGCAUUAAUAAGGUUGACAACUUCCACCUUCCCUCUUCCCUUGCCAUGAAGUUGGUUACGAGCCAGGAAUGAUGAUUAUCUCUCGAUCUCCCUCCCUAGAUGGUGAUCUGCCCCUUGCCUGGAUGGUGGCUGUGCCAGGGAAGGUGAGGGAGGAAGGAGAUGGAACUUUUCCCUCUGUUGCUCUGGUGGAGCAAACACAUGCCCUGCCCUCCUUCCCCCCCUACCCAGAGGGGCUUCUGGCACCCAAAAAGUCUUGCACAACCUGAGACCCAAAGUGGCUUUGGGGGAAAGGCUUCUCAGGUGUGUUCUGAACUCUCUGUAGAGAUGGCUGCUGUUCCUUAAAUCAGUUUGUCCUUGCUCAGUUACCCAUGGUGGGAAACAACAUGUUGCUCACAAGGUAAUGGGAAUUAUUUGGUUGAGCAGCUGCUCUUCCUUAAUGGAUUUCACCAUGCUGUCAUUUUAUUUAGUGAUAAAAAUCUUCAAGCCAAGUUGGAAGCACAAAAAACCCCAACCAAAACUGCCACAGACAACAAUCAAACACCUCGCACUUCCCAAACCCCCAAAUCACACAUCCUCAAAAAAUGUCACAACCCCCCCCCCCCCUUUUCACUAGUAGUGCUAGAAUUUAAAAGUAAAUGAGAUGAAAACCAUUCACUAUUUAUUGUAUCCCAUUUCUGUCACUGCAGAGGGAAUUUUGUUUGUACACAUGGAGAAAAUUGUAGACUGUCUACUUUGCAAGUUACCUGUUGAUGCUCUGUGGAUAUGAUGCUCUAUUCUUUACAGAUAAAAUUAUGAUAAAAAGUUGUCUGUAGACUUCAGCAUCCUUUGAAUUGGACUGAGAUUUCAAAAACUGACCUCAGAACUCUUCUCCCUAUGCACAAUCCAUGUGCUUUUCUGUGGACCUGCACUUUCCCUAAAGAUGCUUGGACUAGUUGAACCAGGUAACAAAUCCAGCAGAAAACUGCUGCAUUCUUUUUCUGUGGAAACUUUGUCCUGAAAUGAGUUGAGCAGGACCUAGAGAAACUAUAUUUUGAUGCAUAAAUAACAAAGAGAAUUUAUACCCAUUUGUUUAUGAACAAGAGGGUCCCUUGAGAUGUGGUGGCCUUUGCCAUAGGGUUUUUAGUUUUGUAUACUGCCACAUUCUCACAUCGUUUUUGUUACUCAUUCCUCUGUUUACUCAACAGCUGUUCCUUCAUAAAAAUCAGCUUGUUGAAAAAUAUGUAAUUUAAAACCUGUUUUGAAAGCCUGCUCAGUGAAACAUCAGCACAUGGGGGUGUUAAGUGUCUCUCAACCAGAUAAUCUUUUGAAAGGCCAUUUGUCACAGGGGUUCAGUUUUAAAUACAAAAGAAAAAUUUACCUUGUAAUAAGUAGCUAAAAAUAUGUACCCACACAGAAA